CUAAUCCGUACUCACCAGAAUUUUUGCCGCGAGAGAUGCUCAAUGCUUCAACCUUUUCCCCUUUCUAAAGCCUCUCUCACCCCCCUCAUACAAAAUCUUAGACCAUCACAACGGUGACAAAAAAGAAGACAUGCGCAAUAGUCAACCGAACAUUAUCACAUGAUCUAAAGCCGACGCCUUUGACCAUUAGCCCAACACGAUUAAGAAAAAGUACAAGUAUGAACAAAUCAUGUCUGGGACCACAUUUCAUUUCCCUUCGUUACCAAAAACACGUACGGUGCCAAAUCAAGCAAACGACAUUCUUAUCUACUUUUUUUUUUUGAAUUUUCCUCACCAACACCACUGUUCCAAAAAAAAAUGGUUAAUACGAAAAAACAUGUACAGAAAAAUUAAUCCUGUCACAUUUUUUUUUGUGUGAUUUCCUUCCAUUUGGCGAUGUUCUUAUGAGCAUUUCGUCACUCCGCAUCCUCUUGGAUGGUGCUGAGCGGCUUGAGCGCCUUCUUCGCCGGCGGAAACGCGGCCACGGCAGACUUCUUGCCAGUCCUCGCCGGACCACCCGAAGCCGUCGCAGAGUACUCCCCGAGGGUCCUCUCGUUCAGCUUCGCGUUGACCUGGGCGUCCACGUCGCCGCGCCCGCUCUCGGCGUGCACCGGCGUGACGCGCACCUUCCUGAUGCCGGCGCCGCGCCCACGCGGCCGCGCUCNNNNN
rnacentral:lncRNA from 1 species